rnacentral:misc_RNA from 1 species
UGGACCCAGUCUUGCCUUUUA